rnacentral:rRNA from 1 species
AUACGGAGGAUGCGAGCGUUAUCCGGGAUUCAUUGGGUUUAAAGGGUGCGUAGGCGGCCCGGUAAGUCAGCGGUGAAAGUUUGCGGCUCAACCGUAAAUUGCCGUUGAUACUGUCGGGCUUGAGUUCAGAUGAAGUGGGCGGAAUGAGUAGUGUAGCGGUGAAAUGCUUAGAUAUUACUCAGAACACCGAUUGCGAAGGCAGCCCACUAAACUGCGACUGACGCUGAUGCACGAAAGCGUGGGGAUC